UUUUUGAAACGCAAGUUUGCGCCCGAUGCCAUUAGGUUGAGGGCACGUCUGCCUGGGCGUCACAUAUCGAAGCCUCCUGCCAAUUUCCCUUUGAUUAUUGUGCAGGGUGGAUGUUGGCCUCCCGUGAGCUCUUUCGUCUCAUGGUUGGUUGAAAAUUGAGACCUUGGUAGGGUGUGCCAUGAUAGAUGGUGGUUGUGUGAUCCACGAGACCAAUCAUGUGCUGCUCUAUUAAAUAUGGCCUCUUUUACCCAUAUGCGUUUCUAAACGCUCGUGAUGAGACCUCAGGUCAGGCGGGGCUACCCGCUGAAUUUAAGCAUAUCAAUAAGCGGAGGAAAAGAAACUAACAAGGAUUCCCUUAGUAACGGCGAGCGAACCGGGAUAAGCCCACCAUGAGAAUCGGUCGCCCUCGGCGUUCGAAUCUAGCGAAAAAAAAACCUUAAAAUGUU
rnacentral:rRNA from 1 species